AUAGACAUUUUCCCCAGAUAGCAUUGAGUUGAUUGUAUGGUGAUUUACGUAUCAUUAUUUAUUGUUCUUGCUGAUUGUUUUUUGAUAAAUUUGCCGUUUACAAUAACAAAAUGUACAAGUAUCAGAAAACGCUCAACAAGUUGAUUAAAUAUCAAUUGUGUUGUUUCGUGAUCCCGUUAUGAGUAUACAGUCAUCUCCAAAGCAACAUCUCUCUAGUGCGUGAAAUAAGUAAAUAAAAUAAAACAUAAUUUUAAAGUAAUUAAUUAAAAUAGCUUAAUAAUACAUUAUUUUUGAAUUUGCCAAUUAAAGAAAUAAAAAUUAAUUAUUUUAUAAUGUCAGCCACUCAAAUAAAAAGAAAAGCUAGAAAGGAAGCUAAAAAAAUUAUAAAUUCAAAGUUGUUGCAUAGUGAUUCAAGUGUUGAAGUUCAAUUUCAAGACCAAGGUGUUCCAGUGGUAAAUAAUAUUGAUAUUGUCAACGAAGCUAGAGGGGAAAGUAGAUUUCAGGAUUUCUUGGACAGUGAUAGUGAUAGUGUUACAAGUGAUAAAAAUGAUGAAAAGAUGUAACCUAUGAUCUGCGUUCAGAGCUUAGCAAAUGGGCGUCAGACUUCGGAAUAAGUUUUGUGGCAUUUAAUGCUUUACUGUGUGUGCUAAACAAAUGCACCAUAAAAGUUCCCAAAGAUGCUAGGACAGUUUUACAAACACCGGCUGAAAUGGUCAAGCGAAAGAAACUAUAUAUUAAGAAGACUGGUGGUGAAGCGUCAACCCCUUUUCUAAGAGCAGCAAUCAGGCGUAUUUUUUCAGACGAGUUGGCAAUGUCUUUUUCGUGGAGGGGCACGGCAGAUAAGCCAAGCGCGGAAAAAUGUUUAGUUACAACAAUAAUAAAAAAUAUUUGCCAUGAAAUGUUUCAAGUGGACGAAAAAGCCGUUAGAUCAACGCUACAAAAACAUUUCGUUUAUGCAAACGAAAGAGUAAAAAAACGCCGUCUACCUUUGUCUGAAAAUAAAUAAUUGUAUUGAGCUGUAAGG